UGUCUUACGUUUUGUCAAACAUUGUCAUAUGUUAUCUUCUCUGUAAGGCAAUUAGUUGUGCAGAGAUGUAGCAGGUAAGGCAAUUCUGAAACAUAUUUAGCCGAUUAUCUUGGAAAUGGUGCAUCCUCUCAAGGUGCAUGAAAAGAACCUUUUAUGUAUAAUUUUUAAUGCUCUUCAAGAAUAUAGUCUCACAUUUUUGGAAAUUGCAAAGCGUCCAUCUUUUUCUGAAAUAAAAUCCUCCCCUGAACCCUCAUAUUGCCACUCCCACAGUCACUAUCACGAAGGUCACUAUCACAGUCACUAUCAGUCAUAUGCCAAGUUAUUACAAUCUUCCUGUGCCAAAUAUCAUAAAAAAAUUAAAAAACCAUUUUCUUUAAAUAAUGCAAAAAGUACAAUUUUGGAUGCCCCUUUCACAUC
rnacentral:lncRNA from 1 species